GACGAACGCUGGCGGCGUGCUUAAUACAUGCAAGUCGAACGCAGUGGCGAACGGGGGAGUAAUACGGGGGUAACCUGCCCUCUUUUUUGGGAUAAGCCUUGGUAACGGGGUCUAAUACCGACUAAAGGGGGAUGGGCUCGCGGCCUGUCAGUUUGUUGGUGGGGUGAUGGGCUACCAAGGCGGUGACGGGUAGCCGGCCUGAGGGGGGGACCGGGAACGAUGGAACGGAGAGACGCCCCAGGGUACUACGGGAAGGAGCAGUGGGGGAAAUUGCAGAAUGGGCGAAAGCCGGAUGCGGCGGCGCCGCGUGGGGGAUGAAGGCUUACAGGUUGUAAACCUCUGUCGCUAUCGAACGGGUAGGUGGAGAAGAAGCGCCGGCUAACUACGUGCCAGCCGCCGCGGUAAUAC
rnacentral:rRNA from 1 species